AACGAACGCUGGCGGCAGGCCUAACACAUGCAAGUCGAGCGAGGACUUCGGUCCUAGCGGCGGACGGGGGAGUAACGCGUGGGAACGUGCCCUUUGCUUCGGAAUAGCCCUGGGAAACUGGGAGUAAUACCGGAUGAGCCCUUUGGGGGAAAGAUUCAUCGGGGAAGGAUCGGCCCGCGUUGGUUUAGGUGGUUGGUGGGGUAAUGGCCUACCAAGCGGACGAUCCAUAGCGGGUUAGAGAGGAUGAUCAGCCACACUGGGACUGAGAAACGGCCCAGACUCCUGCGGAAGGCGGGAGUGGGUAAUCUUGGCAAACGGGGUAAGCCCUGAUCGACCCAGGCCGGGAGAGCGCUGAUGGCGUGAGGGUUGAACAGCUCUUUCAUCUGGGACGAUAAUGACGGUACCAAAAGAAGAAGCCCCGGCUAACUCCGUG
rnacentral:rRNA from 1 species